rnacentral:lncRNA from 1 species
AAGGAGCAAUGAAAAGGCAAGGAAGAAUGCAGGUUUGAGAUUGAUUAUCAAUGGCUGUGGCCGUAAAAGGGAUCUUACCGACAUAGAGUGGGGUGUCUUCCUUUGCCACAUGCAUGGCAAUAUCUUUUAUGGAUGUUAUAACAAAUUAGUUUGUCCGAGAUAGCGGAGGAGGUCUUCUCUAUUAUGCAUCAUAUCUAUUAGCAAGUUGAUCUUUCAUCAGUUGGGGAG